rnacentral:rRNA from 1 species
GAUGAACGCUGGCGGCGUGCUUAACACAUGCAAGUCGAACGGAAAGGCCCAAGCUUGCUUGGGUACUCGAGUGGCGAACGGGUGAGUAACACGUGGGUGAUCUGCCCUGCACUUCGGGAUAAGCCUGGGAAACUGGGUCUAAUACCGGAUAGGACCACAUUUUGGAUGGUGUGGUGGAAAGUUUUUCGGUGUGGGAUGAGCUCGCGGCCUAUCAGCUUGUUGGUGGGGUAAUGGUCUACCAAGGCGUCGACGGGUAGCCGGCCUGUGAGGGUGUACGGCCACAUUGGGACUGAGAGACGGGCCAGACUCCUACGGGAGGCAGCAGAGGGGAAUAUUGCACAAUGGGCGCGGACCUGAUGCAGCGACGCCGCGUGGGGGAUGACGGCGUUCGGGUUGUAAACUCCUUUCGCUAGGGACGAGGCGUUUUUGUGACGGUACCUGGAGAAGAAGCACCGGCUAACUACGUG